GAGUUCUGUUCUCUGGUUCCUAUUCAAUGGAGUGAAACCGAGAGAAGGAGGAAUCGAGGAAGGGAGUCUUACUCACAAUAAUGAAUUCCUAUUCACAACCAGCUCUUUGGAGACAGUCCCACAGUCUCCUCUCUGUGUGCAUCCCAUUAGAUGCAUCUAGUUUAUUGCUUUAUUUCCAUUGUAGAUGUGCCAUUUUCUUUUUAUUCUUUCUUCGGGAAAGGUAAUGAAAUGAGUUGUUCUUCUUGUUCCAGUUCCUCUACUUCUAGUAGUUCCUGAGGAAAGGAAAUCCGAUCUUAUCAAAUCUCAUCUCCUGCGGGGAAAGCCUUUAGAAAAGACUAAGUUUUCCAGCUAUACGAGAAGGAAAUAAGAGAAAGGGCCAUUCCAUAUAGCUUUCCUUUAAUUCCAUUACCUACUUCUUCCUAUGAAUAGAAUUCCGAGCCUGUACGAACUCUUCC
rnacentral:lncRNA from 1 species